rnacentral:lncRNA from 1 species
CCUUCCCUAACAUCUGCUUCCUUGUUUGGCUCAAAAAAUAUUUUCUUCCUUAUUUGACACUGGAUGUAAAUUUUAUUCCUUAUGUGACACUUCCGUCCAUUUUGACCACCAACGGUGUUAAAUGUGAUGUGAAAACACCAUUUUCCCCCUGGUAUUGUAUUUUGUGAUUUUUGCUAAUUAAAGUAGUACUCUACAAAUGUAAUCUAAUUAGUGUAUGUAACAUAACAGUUAAACUGUUAUGUUACAUACACUAAUUAGAUUACAUUUGUAGAGUACUACUUUAAUUGAACUGAAGGGGACCUUGGCGCAGUGGUAAAGCUGCUGCCUUGUGACCAUGAGGUCACGGGUUUAAGUCCUGGAAACAGCCUCUUGCAGAAAUGUAGGGAAAGGCUGCGUACAAUAGACCCAAAGUGGUCGGACCCUUCCCCAGACCCUGCGCAAGCGGGAGCUACAUGCACUGGGGCUGCCCCCUUUAACAUAACAGUUGAACUGUACGUCCUGUAUUCGGCAUAAAAAACUGUACGUCUUGUACGCACCACUAAUGGUGUACUAAUGCCUGUUGAAAAAAAUGAUAUACUAAUGUACACUGCUAACCAUUCGAUUAGAAUUACUUGUAGAAACUUGCAGCAGCUUCCGAGUACCAUACUUGUCGAUUUCAUAAGUCCAACGAACGCACGACGCGACUUGCAUAACAAACCAAUCAAGAUGGUAUAUUUUAUUUUGUUUACAGUAGGUGAAAUAGAGUGGCAAACAAAUGAGUUGGUAUUUGCUGAUUCUCCAUCUCAGUUACAAAGUGGAACUAGUCUACUUUUGAAGUAGCAACUGUUGGCUUCUGAAACAUAAUAAAGAUCAUCAUUUCU